GACGAACGCUGGCGGCGUGCCUAAUACAUGCAAGUUGAGCGCUGAAGGUUGGUACUUGUACCAACUGGAUGAGCAGCGCACGGGUGAGUAACGCGUGGGGAAUCUGCCUUUGAGCGGGGGACAACAUUUGGAAACGAAUGCUAAUACCGCAUAAAAACUUUAAACACAAGUUUUAAGUUUGAAAGAUGCAAUUGCAUCACUCAAAGAUGAUCCCGCGUUGUAUUAGCUAGUUGGUGAGGUAAAGGCUCACCAAGGCGAUGAUACAUAGCCGACCUGAGAGGGUGAUCGGCCAGAUUGGGACUGAGACACGGCCCAAACGCCUACGGGAGGCAGCAGUAGGGAAUCUUCGGCAAUGGACGAAAGUCUGACCGAGCAACGCCGCGUGAGUGAAGAAGGUUUUCGGAUCGUAAAACUCUGUUGGUAGAGAAGAACGUUGGUGAGAGUGGAAAGCUCAUCAAGUGACGGUAACUACCCAGAAAGGGACGGCUAACUACGUG
rnacentral:rRNA from 1 species